UAUCUUCUCACUCUGGAUCAAAAGGAACACCUGCAGGAAGAAGGAAAAUAAAAGAUUAUAUUUGCAUGUACUUUUAAACAAAUAGAAGGCAGACCUGCCUCGUUUCAACGUGCAGCCAGCAGAGACUGCUCAGAGAUAGAUGAACCCAUGUAGUGGCUGCGAAGACAUAAGCACAAGUAGGGUACUCCAUCAAAUGACUACAUCAAGUGAUCAUUAGAGAACAUGUUGCUCCGUGCUGUUUGGGGAGGUGACAAGAGCCAAGAUUCUAAGGCUACCAACAGCACUGAAGUAAUCUGCUCUUUCAAGUUAGCUAUCAUCAUCCAUCCUCACCAGAAAAUUAAAAUAUGAUUUCUGUAUACAGAAAUAUAUAUCUGAAGACCAAUAUCUUGACUCUGCACGACAGCACAAAGCAUAGCUAUCCACUGGAAAGCUGAAAAUUCUACCUUUCAAGGAAGAAGGAAAAAUUCUCACUCUGAAAAGUUACUUAGAGUGACCUAAGAAUACCAUAAAGAAAAGACUGCACCAAGUCCAGAAGAAAUGCCUCGUUCCUCCCAUGCAACACCAGAGGUGCCUGACUUGUCACCUCUGGUGACCACCACAGAAAAUGGAAAGGGGUGCUGUUCUCCAUUAUGCUGGCAGUAUAAAUAGGGAAGUUUAUAAGACUUAUGUUCAGCACCAGAAACACCGUAUUUAAUGGAAAUGUUAUUGUUCAUUUCCUUUCAUUCAUGUUCAUCUUGCCCCACUUCCUCCUUAUCUCAGAAAUCUGAUCUUCAUUUCAUUUUCUACCAAGCUGAGACACUGAGAAAAGAUCGCUUACAGCAUGUGAAUUAUCUGCAAAAGUCUAGUUAUAUCCUCCUUUGUAAUGCCAAUUCUAUUUCAUGAGCCAUUUGGGAUUACGAAUUUUUAUUAAAUAUUAAAACACA